AGUAAACCGUCUGAUCAAUCCUUUUUUUCCCCUCUAUCCUAGGCUGUAUAAAAUUAAGUGACCUGAAGAAUUGCAAGCUUGCCUACAUCUUCUUCAACACUUUCUUCAACCUUGAUAAAUAUCUGGAGCACGAACAGAGAGAUCCUUUUGCCGCUGCAAGAGAUUUUCAAGACACUGAUGGCCCCCAACCGACCGAUUGGGAAAGAUAUGCACAGGAAGAAUAUGAUCUUCUUGUGGCUGAAGAAGGAGCCAAUGAGCCAACAGAAGGUCUGUACGAAGACGAUUUCGAUGA